rnacentral:sRNA from 1 species
CCCACAGGUCCAGGCUGGCGCUGGCCUGGGCUCCACAGCCUCCCAAGGCCCCCAUGGGGCCUUGGGCGGGGGCAUCAGCCAUGACCGGACGUUUAGAGUUCUGGUUCCGUCUCUCAUUUGGGGCGUCGGAUAAAAAUCCAGGCUUCCGGACCCAGCCCACACUGCAUCAGAGUCAUCAGGAAACUCUGGUUGUGGCAGGCGCCACAAGGCUGCCCAGGAGCUGCAGGACAAGCACCAGGAGCCCCUCCGGGUAGCUACUACCCUGGACCCCCCAGUAGUGGAGGGCAGUAUGGUAGUGGGCUACCCCCUGGUGGUGGUUAUGGGGGUCCUGCCCCUGGAGGGCCUUAUGGACCACCAGCUGGUGGAGGGCCCUAUGGACACCCCAAUCCUGGGAUGUUCCCCUCUGGAACUCCAGGAGGACCAUAUGGCGGUGCAGCUCCAGGGGGCCCCUAUGGUCAGCCACCUCCAAGUUCCUACGGUGCCCAGCAGCCUGGGCUUUAUGGACAGGGUGGCGCCCCUCCCAAUGUGGAUCCUGAGGCCUACUCCUGGUUCCAGUCGGUGGACUCAGAUCACAGUGGCUAUAUCUCCAUGAAGGAGCUAAAGCAGGCCCUGGUCAACUGCAAUUGGUCCUCAUUCAAUGAUGAGACCUGCCUCAUGAUGAUAAACAUGUUUGACAAGACCAAGUCAGGCCGCAUCGAUGUCUACGGCUUCUCAGCCCUGUGGAAAUUCAUCCAGCAGUGGAAGAACCUCUUCCAGCAGUAUGACCGGGACCGCUCGGGCUCCAUUAGCUACACAGAGCUGCAGCAAGCUCUGUCCCAAAUGGGCUACAACCUGAGCCCCCAGUUCACGCAGCUUCUGGUCU